AUUGAACGCUGGCGGCAUGCCUUACACAUGCAAGUCGAACGGCAGCACGGGAGCAAUCCUGGUGGCGAGUGGCGAACGGGUGAGUAAAGUAUCGGAACGUGCCCAGUCGUGGGGGAUAACGUAGCGAAAGUUACGCUAAUACCGCAUACGAUCUAUGGAUGAAAGCGGGGGAUCGCAAGACCUCGCGCGAUUGGAGCGGCCGAUAUCAGAUUAGGUAGUUGGUGGGGUAAAGGCUCACCAAGCCGACGAUCUGUAGCUGGUCUGAGAGGACGACCAGCCACACUGGGACGGGGACACGGCCCGGACUCCUACGGGAGGCAGCAGUGGGGAAUUUUGGACAAUGGGCGAAAGCCUGAUCCAGCCAUGCCGCGUGCAGGAUGAAGGCCUUCGGGUUGUAAACUGCUCUUGUACGGAACGAAAAGGUUUGGCCUAAUAAGCUGAGCUCAUGACGGUACCGUAAGAAUAAGCACCGGCUAACUACGUGCCAGCAGCCGCCGUAA
rnacentral:rRNA from 1 species